AAACGCCGCUUAAUACCCAUAUGCCGAGAGGUGAAAUGGAUUCGCCUGAGGAUGAGCCCNNGUCUGAUUAGCUAGUUGGUGAGGUAAGAGCUCACCAAGGCAUCGAUCAGUAGCUGGUCUGAGAGGAUGAUCAGCCACACUGGGACUGAGACACGGCCCAGACUCCUACGGGAGGCAGCAGUGGGGAAUUUUCCGCAAUGGGCGAAAGCCUGACGGAGCAACGCNGCGUGAGGGAUGAAGGCCUCUGGGUUGUAAACCUCUUUUAUCAAGGAAGAAGAUCUGACGGUACUUGAUGAAUAA
rnacentral:rRNA from 1 species